rnacentral:rRNA from 1 species
UCGGGAAUUUUGGGCAAUGGGCGAAAGCCUGACCCAGCAACGCCGCGUGAGGGAUGAAGUAUUUCGGUAUGUAAACCUCGAAAGAAUGGGAAGAAUAAAUGACGGUACCGUUUAUAAGCUCCGGCUAACUACGUGCCAGCAGCCGCGGUAAUACGUAGGGAGCAAGCGUGGUUCGGAUUUACUGGGCGUAAAGGGCGCGGAGGCGGCGCGGUAAGUCACUUGUGAAAUCUCUGAGCUUAACUCAGAACGGCCAAGUGAUACUGCUGUGCUAGAGUUCGGAAGAGGCAACCGGAAUUCUUGGUGUAGCGGUGAGAUGCGUAGAUAUCAAGAGGAACACCUGAGGCGAAGGCGGGUUGCUGGGCCGACACUGACGCUGAUGCGCGAAAGCCAGGGGA